rnacentral:rRNA from 1 species
AACGAACGCUGGCGGCAUGCCUAACACAUGCAAGUCGAACGAGACCUUCGGGUCUAGUGGCGCACGGGUGCGUAACGAGUGGGAACCUGCCCUUAGGUUCGGAAUAACUCCCAGCAAGGGGUGCUAAUACCGGAUAAUGUCUUAGGACAAAAGAUUUAUCGCCUUUGGAUGGGCCCGCGUUGGAUUAGCUAGUUGGUAGGGUAAAAGCCUACCAAGGCGACGAUCCAUAGCUGGUCUGAGAGGAUGAUCAGCCACACUGGGACUGAGACACGGCCCAGACUCCUACGGGAGGCAGCAGUGGGGAAUAUUGGACAAUGGGCGAAAGCCUGAUCCAGCAAUGCCGCGUGAGUGAUGAAGGCCUUAGGGUUGUAAAGCUCUUUUAGCCGGGAUGAUAAUGACAGUACCGGGAGAAUAAGCUCCGGCUAACUCCGUG